AACUGGUGGAUACAAUCAUUGGUAAGACCAUUAUCAAGGAGAGCUUCCAAGAAAUCAUGUUGGCUAGAAGAACCACUCUCUUUAUUUUUCCUUCUUUCUUCAAGAAUCAGUUCCCAGUUAGAACGAAUCUCUGUCAUUACAUAUCUAGCUCUUUUUCGCAGACCUUGAAGAUCUAAUUUACCUAAUACUGGAUAAAAAUCAGAUACAUUUGGAGCUGAGAUUGCUUCCACUAAUCCCCUUAUUAGAUUUCUA
rnacentral:misc_RNA from 1 species